rnacentral:rRNA from 1 species
GAUGAACGCUGGCGGCGUGCCUAAUACAUGCAAGUCGAGCGAACGGACGAGAAGCUUGCUUUUCUGAUGUUAGCGGCGGACGGGUGAGUAACACGUGGAUAACCUACCUAUAAGACUGGGAUAACUUCGGGAAACCGGAGCUAAUACCGGAUAAUAUGUUGAACCGCAUGGUUCAAAAGUGAAAGACGGUCUUGCUGUCACUUAUAGAUGGAUCCGCGCUGCAUUAGCUAGUUGGUAAGGUAACGGCUUACCAAGGCAACGAUGCAUAGCCGACCUGAGAGGGUGAUCGGCCACACUGGAACUGAGACACGGUCCAGACUCCUACGGGAGGCAGCAGUAGGGAAUCUUCCGCAAUGGGCGAAAGCCUGACGGAGCAACGCCGCGUGAGUGAAGAAGGUCUUCGGAUCGUAAAACUCUGUUAUUAGGGAAGAACAUAUGUGUAAGUAACUAUGCACAUCUUGACGGUACCUAAUCAGAAAGCCACGGCUAACUACGUG